AAACCUUCUAUACGUAGACCAACCUAUUGGUACUGGCUUUAGUUAUAGCUCUGACCGAAGGGACAUUCGUCAUAAUGAAGACGAAGUUAGCAAUGACCUUUAUGACUUUUUACAGGUUAGUCUGUUUAUCAUUGGAUCUUAUUCUGGAAGAAAAGGAGUUUAGCAUAAUUAUUUACUCUCCAUUGAACUAUUAUUGUCAAUAUUGUGGAAGUGAAUAAACUUCAUUCAAUUUGUUAGAGAAAAAUGAAUAAAUUUGUUGUUUUGACUGUGCUCUUUUUAUUAUGUUAGGCAUUCUUUGCUGAACACCCUGAGUUGGCCAAGAAUGACUUUUAUAUAACUGGAGAAUCGUAUGCUGGGCACUAUAUUCCAGCUUUUGCUGCCCGAGUCCACCGAGGAAACAAAGCUAAAGAUGGAAUUCAUAUAAACCUGAAGG
rnacentral:lncRNA from 1 species